rnacentral:lncRNA from 1 species
AAUGUAGAGAUUUUACGGGCGGCGACCCUAACACCCACUCUUGAGGACCUUUGCACACUACACUACUUGGGAUAUCAAACUUGUGAAAACUCAACACUUUAUUCACUAUUUUAAUGUUGGUACAACACUCUCUUUAGUGGCUACCCUACACACAACCCUACCAUGGUAGCUCACUUCUCUACUUGGUGUGGUGAUACACUACUUGUGGUGAUUGUGGUACACUUAUGAGGUGGGGGCACCUCUAUUUAUACUUGUACAAGACCAUGUAGUACAUCCCACUACAAUUCUCUAGAAUACUCUACAUGUAUCCUAGUUCUAGAGAAUUCUCACUUAUUCUUGAAACUUAUCUUAACUAUGUCCUUUCAUGGUAAAUUGCAACACUCUUCAAGUAACCUCUCAAGACUUCCAGAAUAUUCAUAUCUUCUCAUAUUCACUGGAAAGCUCCUUGUAAAUAUCUUCUCCUCCACUAAUCCAAACUAUUCUGGAAUCUUCUCAAAUAUGCAUAACUAAUUCCCAACACUCUCCAAUUAUCCAGAGUAGUCCAGAAUAUUCUCAAGUAUGCAUUGCUAUUUCUCAACACUCCCCCUCAAUGCAUACUUGACUCCCAAUCAUCUCUUCAAUGAUGUCCUUGGAUCUUCUGAGCUCUUCCAUUGCGAACUUUCUUCUUUUCUUCGUGCAUUGAGUUCUUUUUAACCUCAUUGCAUUUUUGCAGCUCAGUUCUCUUCUUUGUCCUUAUCCAAACUUGAGCCUUUUUUAUUUCCAUGUAUGAAAAUACUUGAGAAAGAGAACCACGGACAUACCUCAGAUCUGGUGGCUUUGUCCUCCAUACUUCAUGUUUCUUGGCCUCGUGUUGACUCCGUUGGGAUUCCUUGACUCUAAGUUGAUCCAUGCAUUUGUUCUCCAUUACCUUCAUUGAUGGAUCAUCUUGCACGACUAAUGUUCCAUCACCAUCUCUGUUAUACUUAGAUUUCUCACGUGGCUUCUCGUCCACAUAAUGUAUAAGCCCUUGUUUCUUUGGUUUAUCCUCAUGAUCCUCCAAGUCUCCGUCGUCAUUGUCAUAUCCAAACACUGGAAGCUCAUGCAUGGGUUUUAGAUUUCUCACCUCGGUGAAUAAGCCAUUUUCUAUAUCACAUUCUUCUUCAUCAUCAUUUUCCUCUUCUCCAGAUUCUUCUAGAUCCUCCAUGAAGAAGCCACCUUCACCAUUCCAUUCUUCUUCUUUAUCAUUCUCUUCUUCUUCGGAUUCUUCUAGAUCCUCCAUGAAGAAGCCACCUUCACCAUUCCAUUCUUCUUCUUUAUCAUUCUCUUCUUCUCCGGAUUCUUCUAAAUCCUCUAUGAAGGAGCCACCUUCAGCAUCCCAUUCCUCUUCAUCCUCAUCCUCUCUAGAUUCUUCUAGAUCCACACCUUGGAUUGAUGGAUGCUCACCUUUAGUUAGGUCUUCAACAAAAUAGACUUCGUCUUCCAUCAUGCUUAAUCCUUCUUGAGCAUCCCACUCUUCCUCCUCUAAGACCACAUCUGCCAUAGUCACCACUUCUUUCUCCGAGUGCUUCUUUGGACUCCAACAAUCCCUAGCAAGAUGGCCACUCUUGCCACAAUUAAAACACUCGCCUUUCUUUCUCCUUUCAUAUAUCAACUUCCGCUGAUCUUCUUUUCUUCUUUGAGCUCCCCCUGAAUAGUUGCUCUCCCUUGGGUACCACCUCUCAUCUUUCGUCCACUUCUCCUUCACCGCUUCUCGGCUCCUUAGGGGACUCUUCUUCCUAUAGGUGAAAAGCGCAUCCUCUCCAUCUCUUUCUUUAAAGGUGAUACUGCCCAUCUGCUUGGCUAGCUCCUCUUGAUUAGCCAAUAAAUUCUCCAGCUCCACUACUGAAGGUUGAGUAGGCCAUCCCAUCACCGCAGCCAUGAACCCAUUGUAUUCGGGUCUAAGACCAUGGAUGAUGAUUCUCCUCAUCCGAGCCUCACUCACCUUCUCAUCUGCGAGCUCAUUUUCUAGGAGCUGAAGUCGUGCUUCGUUCUUCCUUGAGAACAGCUUCGCCAAUGUGUCCCAAGCCUCCUUAGGUGUCUUUGCAUCUCUGAUGUGCUCCACUAGGUCCUCCUCAAUCGUCGUCUUCAGCACGAACAUAGCUUUGCCUACCUUGAUGCGCCACUUCCGCAAAGCUUCUGCAUUCUCUGGAGGAGUUGUCUCGGUGCCCGCAAUGACCUCCCAUAGGUCAUGACCUUGCAGAUAGGACUCCAUGCAAGUCUGCCAAUAGCCAUAGUUAUGACUAUUAAGCCUCCACAUGCCAUUGCCUGUGAUCAUGAGAUCCGCCAUCUCGAUUGACGCCCCGCGUCCACUUCACUUGGUCCCAGACCAGUGAUUUCCACAGUCCCAGACUGUGCUCCGGCAGAAUCUCACUUAGCGCCUCUCAGUGACACACUGAGCUAUGUAAGCGUCAUACGCUUACCACUGCACCGGCUGAUGACUCCUCCCCAAAUGGUCCCGACCAACCUGCUCUGAUACCAACUGUAGAGAUUUUACGGGCGGCGACCCUAACACCCACUCUUGAGGACCUUUGCACACUACACUACUUGGGAUAUCAAACUUGUGGAAACUCAACACUUUAUUCACUAUUUUAAUGUUGGUACAACACUCUCUUUAGUGGCUACCCUACACACAACCCUACCAUGGUAGCUCACUUCUCUACUUGGUGUGGUGAUACACUACUUGUGGUGAUUGUGGUACACUUAUGAGGUGGGGGCACCUCUAUUUAUACUUGUACAAGACCAUGUAGUACAUCCCACUACAAUUCUCUAGAAUACUCUACAUGUAUCCUAGUUCUAGAGAAUUCUCACUUAUUCUUGAAACUUAUCUUAACUAUGUCCUUUCAUGGUAAAUUGCAACACUCUUCAAGUAACCUCUCAAGGCUUCUAGAAUAUUCAUAUCUUCUCAUAUUCACUGGAAAGCUCCUUGUAAAUAUCUUCUCCUCCACUAAUCCAAACUAUUCUGGAAUCUUCUCAAAUAUGCAUAACUAAUUCCCAACACUCUCCAAUUAUCCAGAGUAGUCCAGAAUAUUCUCAAGUAUGCAUUGCUAUUUCUCAACAC